rnacentral:rRNA from 1 species
AGGACGAACGCUUGCGGCGUGCCUAAGAAAUGCAAGUCGAACGGGGGCUUCGGCCCUAGUGGCGAACGGUCGCGUAACACGUGGGCAACCUGCCCUGAAGCGGGGGACAACAAUUCGAAAGGAUUGCUAAUACCGCAUGUGGUCUGCUGAGGCAUCUCAGUAGCCUAAAGGACUUCGGUUCACUUCAGGAUGGGCCCGCGGCCUAUCAGCUAGUUGGUGGGGUAAUGGCCUACCAAGGCUUCGACGGGUAGCUGGUCUGAGAGGACGACCAGCCGGAUUGGGACUGAGAUACGGCCCAGACUCCUACGGGGGGCAGCAAUUAGGAAUCUUGCGCAAUGGGGGAAACCCUGACGCAGCGACGCCGCGUGAAGGAUGAAGUCUUUCGGGAUGUAAACUUCUUUCUCAGGGAAGAAGAAUGUGACGGUACCUGAGGAAUAAGCCCCGGCUAACUACGUGCCAGCAGCCGC